rnacentral:rRNA from 1 species
GAGUUUGAUCUUGGCUCAGGACGAACGCUGGCGGCGUGCUUAACACAUGCAAGUCGAACGGAGUAUUCACGAAAGAGGUUUCGGCCAAUGGAGUGAAUUACUUAGUGGCGGACUGGUGAGUAACGCGUGAGGAACCUGCCUUUCAGUGGGGGACAACAGUUGGAAACGACUGCUAAUACCGCAUAACACAUUUGAGGGACAUCCCUUGAAUGUCAAAGAUUUAUUGCUGAAAGAUGGCCUCGCGUCUGAUUAGCUAGUUGGUGAGGUAACGGCCCACCAAGGCGACGAUCAGUAGCCGGACUGAGAGGUUGACCGGCCACAUUGGGACUGAGAUACGGCCAGACUCCUACGGGAGGCAGCAGUGGGGAAUAUUGGGCAAUGGACGAAAGUCUGACCCAGCAACGCCGCGUGAAGGAAGAAGGCUUUCGGGUUGUAACUCUUUUAAGGGGAAGAGUAGAAGACGGUA